rnacentral:tRNA from 1 species
GGUGCAGUGGUUAAAAGCUCUUGGCUGCUAACCAAAAGGUCUGUGGCUCGAACCCACAGCUGCUCCA